rnacentral:rRNA from 1 species
UACGUAGGGUGCAAGCGUUGUCCGGAAUCAUUGGGCGUAAAGAGCGUGUAGGCGGCCCGUUAAGUCCGCUGUGAAAGUCCAGGGCUCAACCCUGGGAUGCCGGUGGAUACUGUCGGGCUUGAGUCCGGAAGAGGAGUGUGGAAUUCCUGGUGUAGCGGUGAAAUGCGCAGAUAUCAGGAGGAACACCAACGGCGAAGGCAGCACUCUGGGACGUGACUGACGCUGAGACGCGAAAGCGUGGGGAGCAAACAGG